UGACGAUUUACCUAGGGUCAAGCCUUGCAGCAGCGUAGCAGAGCAGCAACGGGAGCAACGACUUUUCAGAGUGCAGCUGGUUACGCCAGUUUGACUGGCGAAAAGCAUGCAACAGGUCUCGCCAGUUGCAAUUGCGAGAAGCUUUUAAAAAUAUUCCUACGAGUAUUCCUUACAAAAAGCCAUUGAAAUGGAUCAUCAGUCAUGCUCUCCUUCACGUACCAGCUCAAAUAAUAUUGUGAGUGUGUGUUUGGCUUGUGUUAGUGGGAAAAGCUUUCCUCCUUGUGCUCUCUCU
rnacentral:lncRNA from 1 species